GGGGAUAUAGCUCAGUUGGUAGAGUGCUUGCCUUGCAUGCACGGGGUUCUGGGUUCAAUCCCCAGCACCA
rnacentral:tRNA from 1 species